rnacentral:rRNA from 1 species
GUGUCAGCCGCCGCGGUAAUACGUAGGCAGCGAGCGUUGUUCGGAGUUACUGGGCGUAAAGAGUGCGUAGGCGGUUCCGUAAGUUCGGUGUGAAAUCUCCCGGCUCAACUGGGAGGGUGCGCCGAAUACUGCGGCACUUGAGCGCGGGAGAGGAAAGCGGAAUUCCUGGUGUAGCGGUGAAAUGCGUAGAUAUCAGGAGGAACACCGGUGGUGAAGACGGCUUUCUGGACCGUUGCUGACGCUGAGGCACGAAAGCGUGGGUAGCAAACAGGAUUAGAUACCCUGGUAGUCCACGCCCUAAACGAUGCAUACUUGGUGUGGGCCGUUCAGUCGGUCCGUGCCGGAGCUAACGCGUUAAGUAUGCCGCCUGGGGAGUACGGUCGCAAGGCUGAAACUCAAAGGAAUUGGCGG